UGGGGAAUAUUGCGCAAUGGGGGCAACCCUGACGCAGCAACGCCGCGUGCGGGACGACGGCCUUCGGGUUGUAAACCGCUUUCAGCAGGGAAGAUAGUGACGGUACCUGCACAAGAAGCCCCGGCUAACUACGUGCCAGCAGCCGCGGUAAUACGUAGGGGGCGAGCGUUAUCCGGAUUCAUUGGGCGUAAAGCGCGCGCAGGCGGCUCUUCAAGCGGAACCUCUAACCCCGGGGCUCAACCUCGGGCCGGGUUCCGAACUGGAGGGCUCGAGUGCGGUAGAGGCAGGCGGAAUUCCCGGUGUAGCGGUGGAAUGCGCAGAUAUCGGGAAGAACACCGAUGGCGAAGGCAGCCUGCUGGGCCGGCACUGACGCUGAGGCGCGAAAGCGAGGGGAGCGAACAGG
rnacentral:rRNA from 1 species